rnacentral:lncRNA from 1 species
UAUUAACUCAUUUAUGUCACCAGAGCUACAUGUAUACAGAUUAGUGAAAUGUAUGUUUAUUAUUAAAUAUUAGUUUAGUUUAAUCAUAAACAGAUAACAUCAUUUUCAGGUCCUUCUCACCAACUAUCUGAUAUUCUUCUGGCUAUUUUCAACUCAAAAUGGAAUAUUUUAUGUUCCUUUUCUUACAGACUCUAAAGAUUCUUUUUUGUAUUCUUACCAUCUGCACAAUGAUAUUUUUGCCUCAUGGGCUCUUACUGUUACGUAUAGAAAGUGUGUUUUUGCUUACUACUUUUCUAAGCUAAACAAAGGAGAUAUUAAGCAGCUGAUUUAUACAUAGAUUUUUUUUUUAGUUUUGUUUGAAGGGACAUUAUUGAGUGUAGUCUUCUAAUCCUAACUCUCCUGUUCAUUCCCAUGUUUAUCAUUGUUGUUAUUACUACUUCUCUCUUCAAGAGAACACUGUGCCACUAUCCCUCACAGUGCUUAACUUGCUGU